rnacentral:rRNA from 1 species
AGCAGCCGCGGUAAUUCCAACUCCAAUAGCGUAUAUUAAAGUUGUUGCAGUUAAAAAGCUCGUAGUUGAAUUUCGGGAUCAAUAUGCUGGUCGUGCCUUUGGUACGUACUGGUAUUAUUGGUUUCUCCUUUCUGAUGAAUCACGAUGUCAUUAAUUUGGUGUCAUGGGGAAUCAGGACUGUUACUUUGAAAAAAUUAGAGUGUUUAAAGCAGGCUUACGCUUGAAUACAUUAGCGUGGAAUAAUGAAAUAGGACGUUUAAUUCUAUUUUGUUGGUUUCUAGGAUUGACGUAAUGAUUAAUAGGGAUAGUUGGGGGCAUUAGUAUUCAAUUGUCAGAGGUGAAAUUCUUGGAUUUAUUGAAGACUAACUACUGCGAAAGCAUUUGCCAAGGAUGUUUUCAUUAAUCAAGAACGAAAGUUAGGGGAUCGAAGACGAUCAGAUGCCGUCGUAGUCUUAACCAUAAACUAUGCCGACUAGGGAUCGGAUGAUGUUAAUUUUUAAUGACUCAUUCGGCGCCUUAA